GACGAACGCUGGCGGCGUGCUUAACACAUGCAAGUCGAACGGAAAGGCCCUGCUUUUGUGGGGUGCUCGAGUGGCGAACGGGUGAGUAACACGUGAGUAACCUGCCCUUGACUUUGGGAUAACUUCAGGAAACUGGGGCUAAUAACGGAUAGGAGCUCCUGCUGCAUGGUGGGGGUUGGAAAGUUUCGGCGGUUGGGGAUGGACUCGCGGCUUAUCAGCGUGUUGGUGGGGUAGUGGCUUACCAAGGCUUUGACGGGUAGCCGGCCUGAGAGGGUGACCGGCCACAUUGGGACUGAGAUACGGCCCAGACUCCUACGGGAGGCAGCAGUGGGGAAUAUUGCACAAUGGGCGGAAGCCUGAUGCAGCAACGCCGCGUGCGGGAUGACGGCCUUCGGGUUGUAAACCGCUUUCGCCUGUGACGAAGCGUGAGUGACGGUAAUGGGUAAAGAAGCACCGGCUAACUACGUG
rnacentral:rRNA from 1 species